rnacentral:snRNA from 14 species
CCACUUACCUGGACGGGGUCAAUGGAUGAUCAAUAAAGCCUAGGCCUCCAUUGCAUUUUGGAGGGGUGUUUGACUAAGGUCGGCCCAAAUUGUUGAAUCUACAUCAUAAUUUGUGGCAACGGAGACUAAUAUAUGUGUGGCCCCUUA